rnacentral:tRNA from 1 species
GAGAGAGGCUAUGAGCAUCACGAACUGCUAAUUCUUGUCCCCUAGGCUAAAUUCCUGGGCUCACUCGCCC